CAAAAAAUAAAAAAAAUUACCAGACGCAACUGCGCCUCAAUCCGAUUCACCCCCAUCGACCUCGCCUCGCGCCGCCGCUCGCACCUUGCCUCGCACCCUCCGUCGACGCGGAGCUCCCUGCCGCUAGCUCCCUGCCGGUUCGAGAUCCGCACUUGCCGCCGCUCGCCCCUUGCCUCGCCGCCGCACUCCUCAGUUCACCCGCACCGCCACGCCUGCCCUGCAAGAGAUCAACUGCUCCGUCCUCCGCCGGGUGGCCGCCGCCGGGGACGUGGAUGGACGCGAGGCGGUUGGCCGCCGGCGAACGAGGACGCGCAUGCGAGAUGCGCGGCGCGGAGUAGCGCUCUCCUCCCUGCCGUCGUCGGGCUCCCUGCUGCCAGCGAUGCCUUCUCCGCAACAUGGGGGAAGCGUCGAGGCCUUCAUCUAACUUCAGUAAAUACAUAUCAAUACAAACUUAUGAAGUAUCCCAAAGAAUCCGCUUACCAGAAGACUGUGUUCUGCUUACCUGAAGGAACCCAAAGAAUCCGAGUCCAUCAGCAGUCCAGUAUCCCCAGGCAUCAUUGACAUGUGUUCUUUUGUACUGUGCUCUCUUGAUUGUCGCUCAUCCAGGUUGCCGGGGUGCCGGCCAAGAUGAGAACAAGGCCAAGCUGCUUGGUUGUCCGUGUUCAUCAAAGGUGCUCUCUGUUUUCCAUCUUUCUUUUUCUGUACUUAAUCCUACAUGGGUGACUACUAAUUUCCAUGUCUACUGGGAGGAAGAAGGUUGGCGGACAUAUCUUUGUGACUAUAUCAUUCACGUGCUUUGUUUCAACUCAUAAAAUGGAUCCUUUUUAAGCUAUAUCAAAUCAUAAGACAUAAUUUUCAGUUGAUUUUUUUCUUCUAAUUCCCAGUUUAUUGCUUCACAUAGACUAUUACAUAUUUAUGAAAAAUUGAAAGAAAUGCAAUAAUGAUGCAUCUAUGCAGAUAUAUUACAUAUUUAUGCUAGCCAAUUCGAAGCUUUGUCCCAAGUGCAAGCAUACCGUUGAAAAAAUAAAUACAUGUAUGACAGAUCAGCCAGCAACUUGUUGAUCUCUGAUUCUUUGAAACUUGAUGCUUAUAACUGUCUAUAUAAGUCAUUAUUGUUCAGAGCCAAAGAUAGCUAACAACCUAUUUGGUUAAGUUGGAAACACUUUCAGAUCAGGAGUAGUAGAAAUUCUUAAGGGCGUUGGGAUAUUGAACUUCAGAACUGCAAAUAGCUUCAGCAGGUUUGUUAGGCUAAUAUAAAGUAGGGAGCUUUGCUACAUAAUGAUACAAAGAUGAUACUGAAGGUUGUUUUGCAACUAGCAAGUUUCAAGGUCACAUGGAUGCUGAUAGCACUCAGGUGUAUGGCCUAUUUGUUGCUGGGUAUUGUUGCCUUUCUUCCUGGUUUAUACAGCGGAGGAUCCUGAAUUGAUGCAUAUAUUGGCUCAAAAAGUAACUAGGGGCUCUGAAGUGCAGAUUGACAAGAGAGUUUCUGCUGCUAUUAUUUAAAUCUUAAAGAAACGUCCGUUCCUGGUUCAGAGGUUUACAAGUCCCCUUGUUCAAAUAUGAAAAUGAUUUAUUUGCAAACUUCAAUGCAAAAUGCCCGGUGAUUCGAUUCUAACAGAGGAGCUUGCUACAGCCAUCCAGGGGUCCAGGGCGAUUAGAUGCCCAUCACUCACGGUGGCAAGAAGCUCCGUGUCGAGUUGAUGAACCAACACCAGUUGGGAGCCCGGAUGAAGAAGGUUGUCGCUGUUUUGGUCGAUUUAGAAACCUUGUUUGGUGUCUGAAGAUCCCUUUUUGCCCACUGUUCAAACCAUCUCUUCAUUUUUUGUGUAAAUGGUAACAAUACACUUCAAAUAAUUAAGUUUUCAUCCCAAAAAAUAUUUUGUAAAAGGAUGUACUUAUCGCCUCAGAUAAUCCUUAAUCAUCAUGUA